rnacentral:rRNA from 1 species
AUUGAACGCUGGCGGCAUGCCUUACACAUGCAAGUCGAACGGCAGCACGGGAGCAAUCCUGGUGGCGAGUGGCGAACGGGUGAGUAAUAUAUCGGAACGUGCCCAGUCGUGGGGGAUAACGUAGCGAAAGCUACGCUAAUACCGCAUACGAUCUAUGGAUGAAAGCGGGGGAUCGCAAGACCUCGCGCGAUUGGAGCGGCCGAUAUCAGAUUAGGUAGUUGGUGAGGUAAAGGCUCACCAAGCCGACGAUCUGUAGCUGGUCUGAGAGGACGACCAGCCACACUGGGACUGAGACACGGCCCAGACUCCUACGGGAGGCAACAGUGGGGAAUUUUUGGACAAUGGGCGCAAGCCUGAUCCAGCAAUGCCGCGUGCAGGAUGAAGGCCUUC